CAUAUUAACACUUCCUCUCGCUCUCUCCAGUCUUCUUCUUCCCUUCAGCUUUCUGUCCCUCAGGCCCGUAUGGUCACCAUGGGGAACCGUAACUUCAGCCGCUCGGCUCCACAACUCUGGAACUCUCUCCCUCUUGACCUUCGUAUCAUCGUGUCUUUUUCACCUUUUACAUCCAGGCUCAAAACCUGUUCAAAUUUGCUAUUCCAGAACACAAUUUUCCUUCAUCUGUUAUCAGAUUUGAUCAAGAUGUCCAUUUAUUUAUUGUGUUUUUAACAUUUUGUCAAAGUGGUUUCAUUGUGUUUUACUUUUGAAUCUGUAUAGUGUUCUUGAGUGAUUUGAAAUAAAGUGGAUUAUUGUUAUAAAAACUAACUUGCUGAUGGUUCUGUAGGUUCUGCUGCACCAUGACAAAGCAGAAAAAUGUGAACCUCAGGAGUCCCCCAGCCGAGCAUGUGACUGAAAACCCUCUGGAGCAGCAGGUCAAUGAACCCUGCAGGAUCCGAUAAGAUAACCGCUCAAACAGGGACCCCCACUCUGAGCAAACACAGCCCUCCCCGACAGCUUUCUCUUCAUUACUUAUAGGAGGAGGGGGGGGGGGGUCCAAAAAAUAAAUUUGUCUCAACUUUGGCUCCGUCUUGAAUAUACUCAGCUGACAAGAGACUGAAAGAAAAGAUAAACAUACACUGCCUCCCCCAACACACACUCCACCUUUCCAAACAGGUUGGGCCUCUCAACCACCAACCAGGAUAACCAAAGAACGGAGUUACAGGCGCCUCAGGGUCACCACAGUUCAGAUCGGAAACAUGAGCUAAGAGUAGAAUCUUAGAGCUUGGAUCCAGAACCAAUUCUGAUAUCAAACUUCUAAACAGGUCCGGGACUCCUCACUCCUGACACACAGAAACCAGAACCACCAGAGUUCUGGUCAAUUGAACCUGAUCCAACAUGUCAGUGGUUAAAGAAUCCCAUGAUCACUGCACUCCUGGGGGGUGAAGAAGGGGUCUAGGUUCUUCUUUGGAGCAGGAACUCGGGAACACAGCCCUGGGGGAAGAGGAAACAUCCACCUGUCCUCGCGGAGUUUAGUGUAAGGUGAGGACUUAUCUACCAAGAAACAUCACAGAAGACCAGUUCUGUUUGGAGAAACGGGAAAAGUUCUGCAGCUGCUGGAAAUGAAUCCAACAAGCCAAGAUAUAAACGACUGCCAAACAUCAACAAACAUUUAAGGAAAAGCGGCGCAGAAGCAACAAGGAAGACGAAAAUGAAGAGGAGAUGAGGAGCCAAGAAGCAGGUGAUGAUGAUGAGAGAGGUGUUGAACAGACGGAAGACACUGAAACGCAGCAGAGCAGGAAGCAGAGCAGCAAGCUGAACCUCCGGAAAAAGAGCACCACCAAAUGAAGCCCUGAAGCAGAACUGUUAUGCCUAAAACCCAGGUAUCAAUACUCAAGUUGCACACAGUUGAUACCAGCACGUACAUUUUCCUGUCAAUCUUCAGUCACGUUGGGGACAGAUGGAUAAAAACUGAAUGGAUAAUCUCGAACCUAAACCUAACAGUAAAAAAUAAAUAAAUAAAAAAAGCCUGA